UCUGUGAAGUAAUUUUUUUCUUGUAGUUCCAUACCAAGUUUUGAAUUGUUGCUGUUUUAAUGAAGUAUGUUCAUUGAUUUUGCAUCCAUUGGUUUCAGAAUCCAAAUCUGGGGAAAAAAGUACUAUCUUUCUGAAAUGUCUCUCAAACAUGAAAGCCUAGAGAAAACUUUUUUUUGUGAGUAAAAAGAAGCCUCCAGGAUGAUCCUUAUGCAAUACAAAUCAUGUGUUUUUCAGACUGAAUGCACUCCCUUUAUUCACCUUUUCAGAGAGUAUCGGCCAGAAUACGAGCGCCUGAGAAAAACACUGAAUCCACAGGUAAAUCUUUGUCUACGGGAGAAAGCUCAAAAUAAACAAAAGAGAGAGCAGCUGGAA